rnacentral:rRNA from 2 species
UGCAAGUCGAACGAGUUCUCGUUGAUGAUCGGUGCUUGCACCGAGAUUCAACAUGGAACGAGUGGCGGACGGGUGAGUAACACGUGGGUAACCUGCCCUUAAGUGGGGGAUAACAUUUGGAAACAGAUGCUAAUACCGCAUAGAUCCAAGAACCGCAUGGUUCUUGGCUGAAAGAUGGCGUAAGCUAUCGCUUUUGGAUGGACCCGCGGCGUAUUAGCUAGUUGGUGAGGUAAUGGCUCACCAAGGCGAUGAUACGUAGCCGAACUGAGAGGUUGAUCGGCCACAUUGGGACUGAGACACGGCCCAAACUCCUACGGGAGGCAGCAGUAGGGAAUCUUCCACAAUGGACGCAAGUCUGAUGGAGCAACGCCGCGUGAGUGAAGAAGGCUUUCGGGUCGUAAAACUCUGUUGUUGGAGAAGAAUGGUCGGCAGAGUAACUGUUGUCGGCGUGACGGUAUCCAACCAGAAAGCCACGGCUAACUACGUGCCAGCAGCCGCGGUAAUACGUAGGUGGCAAGCGUUAUCCGGAUUUAUUGGGCGUAAAGCGAGCGCAGGCGGUUUUUUAAGUCUGAUGUGAAAGCCCUCGGCUUAACCGAGGAAGCGCAUCGGAAACUGGGAAACUUGAGUGCAGAAGAGGACAGUGGAACUCCAUGUGUAGCGGUGAAAUGCGUAGAUAUAUGGAAGAACACCAGUGGCGAAGGCGGCUGUCUGGUCUGUAACUGACGCUGAGGCUCGAAAGCAUGGGUAGCGAACAGGAUUAGAUACCCUGGUAGUCCAUGCCGUAAACGAUGAAUGCUAGGUGUUGGA